rnacentral:lncRNA from 1 species
AUGGAAAGGCCUUUUAAGUACAGCGCCUGGGAAUUAAAUGCUGAAGAUUAUGAAGAAGAAGCAGAAGACUAUCAGGCUGAGACAGAAAUCGAUGAGGAGCAGGAGGAAGAGGAAGAGGAAGAAGAGGAGGUAUGGCUGCGUUAAGGUACUGCUCAAUCUCAGGAGAAAUCUCUGCGAGCCGCAUGUGCCCAGAGUGAUUAUUGCUUUGGGACGCCCCAUCAGGUAAACAGAACGGGGGCACCUUUAGCUCUUUUCUCUCUAUCCAUUUUGGUUUUCUUUGUGUUUGUAUUUUUCAAGCACUGAGAGUGAGCCGAGGGCCUCGUGUGUG